rnacentral:lncRNA from 1 species
CGGUGUACCACUCACCUUCUGCUCUGAUUUCCUGGUGUCUCCUGGCAGCCGGCGCUUCAGCUCGUCAUGAAGUUCACCACUGAGGGAUCCGUGCUACUGAGGAGGAUUCAAACAACGCACGUAUCAGGGCAACACGUUGGUUAUCUCUGAGGAGCGACCUGCCUGUGAGCGAUGAGUCAAAGCAGAGCGCGCUCCAUCCGCUGACUGCAGCGCAGUGCCGCCGGCCGUGCG